rnacentral:lncRNA from 1 species
AUUCCAACUACUGCUGAAUCGAACAAAAUUGCGAUUCUGAUCCAAAUUCUUUUUUUUAGGAGUUGGGGAAUCUAGGCCUAAUCUAUUAGAAUAGGUCUAGGCUGAUUUGGCAGGUCGAAGCCUAAAGACUUUCAAGGUCAAAACCAUUCCGCUCGAAAACCAGCCUUCAAAGAAAGUCAAAGACUGGCGGACCGCAUACGCGCUUACUUUUUGUUUGUUUGAUAGGCUGAUCCCUAGGCUGAAACGGAUAUGCUUCUAUCACACUCUUCUUUCGAGAGAAUAGCCCCAAUGACGAUGAAUUAGGGUUGUAGAGCGGGUCAAUCCUUGGAGCUUUCUCCAUGCCCGACAGAGAAAACUUGGUGCGAAUCGGGGUACAUACGCUCCUGCUCGUCUAACUAAUGUACUAAUGUAAUUCCACGCAAAUAUGGCUGCCCGGAGAAUCCGUAGCUGCUAAGAGGGUCGAGCCAUAACGGAUUGAUGUGGCGUAGCGGCGACUGGAAUCGAUCUGAAUGAAGCUUCAAGCGUAGUUCUGGGGCUUCUCCUAUACCCCGCCUAUAUGGAGGAAGAUUAGGUGGGGAAGGUCAUAGUGAAGUCAGCAAGCUGGAAAGUAGCCGCCCCUCUUUGAUUGUGCACAGCCCCUGCCACGAGACACCUAAUCGAAGAAGCGCCUUCCUCUCAUCUUUUUGAUAAUUCAACAUCCAGUUCAUAGAGAACUGCCUACUCCCACCUCGACCGAGAAAGAGAUCUAAGGCUUCUUUGAAGAAAGUAAAGCAGGAAUAGAUGGCCUGCCCCUAGCUCUAAAAAAUCUCUAUAUUUUGCUAUCAAAGGAGUGCUUUCAUUCCCUGCCACCCGCUUUUAUAGGCUGUUCCUUAUCGGCAUCUCACGAAAAAAUCUUUCAUGAUCCAUUCUUCCGGAAUUGGAUAGAGAAUGGGAUAUUCCACUGGGAGGGAGAGGCGGGGGUGACAUCAGAAGUAGGAUCGUCGAACGGAUAGCAGCAUCACAUUGAGAAUUGACUCGUCGGAUUAACCACUUAGACGGAGAGUUCCCCAUAUUCCAUUUCAUUGGCAACCGAAAUAGAUCUAAACAGCGUGCCCGGAGCGAAGGAAGGGCUUCCAAAAUGAAUUGAAAAGUCAAAUCAAUGAAAGGCCCAGAUGUAGCCUUUGUGUGCGGAGCAAGCCUACACUGGCUGAGAUGAAGAAAAUGUCGACACCGAUGAAAUGUUUGAAAACAUAGACAGCGGAAGAAGUCACUCUCAAUCCGAUCUAGCAAGAAAUGCUAUACCGAUAAAGUAAAGCGAGAGAGCUCAUUAAGAAGGCCAUCUUCCAUCCGCCUUUUAGUUUUAGAUAGGGCGAGGCUAGUACGAGACUCCGAACCACGACGGAUCUUGUCUUAGGAAAUAGAAUGGGACGGGAGGCCUAUCUGACCUUUUGUUUGAUUCCAUUUUCCAACCCUUUCUUUAGAACCAACCUGGAAUGCAAACAAGGAAGGAAAGGGCUGAAAUCUCCAUAUCUGAUCCAGCAAAAAAAACCUGACCUUAGCAGUGAUAGAGAUAGCAUAGCUGUAGACAGGGGGAGGGCCCGGAUUACCUUUUCUAUUAGAAUAAGGAAGGGAAUCGCUUUGAUUGCUUGCGACAGCUUAUCGAUGCUCGUUAGCGGUGAAGUCCCUCAAACCAGAAGUUUCAAAAGCUUUUGACUGGGCAGAGAAAUGAACUUUACAUACUGAUAUCGCAUACCGAAGGGAAGGCCUAAUUGUACCACUCCCCCUGACCUUCCGCCUGAACUGAUAGAAGUUGGCUUGAGCUGAGCGUCUCUUACAAAAAAGGUGCCCUAGUCGCCUCGGUGGAAUGCAUUGAAGAAAGGAAUCCACUCUCAACCCUUUCAUUUUAUUUAAUAGAAUGGUAAGCCGGUCUUAUUCUUUUAUAUAUACGAGUAAACAACUUCUGCUCUAACUCCUUGAGGAAAAAGUCUUGCAUCUCGCCCAACUCCUACAAAGCCCACCCCCGAAGGAGAAAAAAGUUAUCAGCACCGAUGUUACUAACCUUAUGCUUCGCCAAUCUUUAUAUGCCACGGGGAAUCGAUCGGUUGAAUCCGUUGCAAGCCUAUCUUCCGAACCCCGCAUCAAAGUCUUGUCACCGUGCCCGCUUGGGGUCUGUCUGAGUAAGGAAAGAGCUCGUAGCCACGUGAUAGGUCUUGUCUUGUUGAUAACCUGGAGACCGGCGAAGACUGCGCUCCAGCUGGUGGUGAAGGAAAGGGGGAAGGGAACUAUAGAAUAGAAGGAGCUGGACAUGAACCGUCACGGUCUUUCUGGUGAAUCAGUGCUGUUUGCAUGGCACUCAUAGGCUCUGGGACUGAUGACCUUACUCUUCUAGUCUUUUCCAGUAAGCCUUGUUGGAUGACUCAGAGCUCUUGUGCUCCCUCUUUUCAAUAUCCCUUUGCUGUCUUCGUAACCGCAGUGAGAGUAGGAGCUCAAGCAGUUGCCGCUGCAAGACUAGCCGCUCUUGAGUAAAUAGCAGCUCUUACCGCGCUUGAUGGUGAAUAAGCCUUGGAAUCCGUGUUGAGAAAGCAUCCAAUUGCUAUUACAAAAGCAUAUCCCUUAUCUAAUUAGAAGGAACUUCUUUCCGGCGAAGUGACAGCGGGGAAGGAAAGCAAGGGACUGAUUACACUAGUCAGACAUGCCCAGAAGAGGAUAAGAUCAGAAAAGGGCACAAUGCCUCUUGAGAUUGUUGAAUAAGCUAUUCAUCAAUGCUCGAGUCAUAUUCUAGUAGACAAACUUUCUUCUUAUGUCCACCGGGGAAAAGAAUACAAAAAGAUUGAUAGGCCAUUCAUUCCCUUCUCUCUCUCCGAAUCUUGCUCCCUCAUUCCCCUCCAUUCGGCUAUCGAUAUUUGCGGAGUUGAAGGCUUAGGCUUAGGUCUAGGUCUUCGCACCGUCUUGGAACCUUUUUUCUGAGCUUUUGACAGUUGAGUCUCGGACGCUAACUAAGGAGACUACUGCAUCUCGCUCUUAUUAUAAAACAAUAAAAAAGAAGACAGGUUGCCCUGCCCUGUCAGUCUCGAGCUCGAGGUCGUCUUUCUUGUCUCACACAAGAGAAGCCUUCUUUAUACAGACAGGAGUUAGAUAAGCAUGUAGCUUAUGGCUUUAUCCUAUAGAUAUAUAUAGAAAAAAGAAACGAGGAUCAGUCUUCAUCCUUUCGCUUUUCAAAGUGAAUGAUCCCCUCGCUCUUAACCUUUAUGUGACCGCAAUAGCAAGGGACAGGAGCUCCCCCUAGCUCAGUAAGCAAGUGCUACAAACCUUUGAAACUAGAGUAAAGGUACCCAGGGACAUAAAAUGCUAGGUUGUGAGGAAGUGAAUCGGUUCUUACCUGACAGUUCCUAGAAUUGGACAAAAAGGUUUUGCACGUUAAUCAGAAAAGGAAGAAUACGAUCUUGUCGCAAUUGAAUCCGUAACUGCAGCUAUUGAGUCUGCUGUGGGAAUAAGCGCCUAGAAGAGAGCUUUCACUGGCUUUUUCUUACUAUGAGGAUGGAUGUAGAUAUAAGUCGUCUCUUGGCCAGGGCAUUAGCAGAGCAGCUUCCACUCCUCCCUUCGAUAAGCUUCCCUUUUUGGGCACUGGACCUAGUUACCGCUCCAUGGGAACAUCUAUAGAUUCCGCUAUCGGGAAAGUCAGGCAUGGAAUCACGCUAAGGUAAGGUUUCUAUCUAAUCCAUCUAGAAUAGGAUCUACUCUAUCUAUUUGAUUUUCCACUUCUGCCUGGCUGACUGAAUAAAGAAAUGGAACCAUAGCUAAGACUGAUCGAUGAGCCUUCUCUCUCCUUGAUCUGUCUAGUUCUAUUUUUUUGACUAAUCCGAAUCUGUGGACUGAGUGAGUAGCUAACUAAAAUAGAAUAUUUGAGGAUAUAGGAGUAGGGCUAUUCUUCGCACCGAGAAAAUCUUUUGUUAAUCUCGUUAUCUCCACGGGCGCUGGGUUAAGGGCAGAAUCAGACCUUGGGGAACCGGUACGAAAGGGAGCUAGCUAAGGCAGCAAGCCAAGAAAGGCAGCAUAGUAGGCCUUUUAGAAUUAGAAAGGAAGCCAACUCUUGUUCGACGUAGGGUAGAGUCACUUAUUUCAUUCCCUGGGCUUUCCAUCCUAUUAUGGGGCUUGAAUGCGGGUCUUUGGCUAGAGACGGAGACUUUCCCAGUGAAAGCGCUGGCGUUCAGUUUGGUUGCGUGCUUUCCGAUCUCUUUCCCUUCCUUUCUGUGGUAGCAUGGUUAACGGUAGCAUGUUUGCUAGUCUUGUCGGACUAGGAGCUCUACUAGGCUUGACCGUGGGAAAUUGACUUAUUCUUGCUCAAGUCAAGUGGAAUCAGUUUCAUUUGGCUCUAGACUACGAUUCGAUAGAGAACGAUUUGGCACAUCUUCGAUUUCCUGGUAUGAAAGUAGUUAGGCUUGGUUUUCUUUGAGUUCAAGAUAUUCGGCAUAAGCCGUCUUUGCUUUUGCUCUUAUCGAUGUGAUCCUUGUCUUUAGCUUGGCACCAGGGCGGCUUGCUUACCUACCUUAUGAAUGACUUUCGGACUUUCUUCUUUUCUGUUAGCACGCAUCCAGUGACCGAUGAAUCUGUUGUCGGAAUAAGCGUAAGCGCAGCAAGAGAAUUCGCAGCUUUUGUGCCUAAAAUCCCUACUUUAAACUGGGUUGGCUUUCAAAGAUAGAGACUAUCACUGGAUUGCUUGCUCAGUUCCUCAAUCCAAUUUCCCAUUUGACUUCCUGACAUUUUCAAGAGCUUGAAUAAAAGAAAGGCCUGCUUACCCGCUUCAACUUCAAAGAGGAUUUCUCACGGGAUUGGUGUAACUGUCUUUCUCCCACUCGAUGGAUUGCUCCUAUUGACCUAGCUGUCUUACUCGCUGUCUAGCCCGCUCUCCCUGACUUUUUUAUCCGUAGCUUGAAGGAGGGAGAGGCUAGAUGGCAGAAGAGAAGGCAAUGCCUCCUCGUUCUUCGUUUUCGAUUUGCUUGUCCAUUUUUUCAUUUUCACGUGAAGGAAGCAAAGCAACCUUAGUCUUAGUCUGCCCUAUCUUUUUUUUCGAAUAUCCCUUUUCGAAGCUUCGAGCCAAGGCAAUCCGGAGACCAGUACGGACAGCCCAAGCCCAGAGUUCAGCAGUCAAGUUUGUAGCAACUCCAAUUCUAGCUGCAUAACCUCGAAGCCAGACGCCCUAUCUUCCUCGAUCCCACUCAUGUUCGGAUUCACUAACCAUUCCCUUUCUCUUUUUGCAUGUAUGAUUUCUUGGUCGGUCGCUUCCUUUCGCUUUCAUGCGGAAGGCCCCCUACCGGCCAGAAAGAAUUGUUUUAGAUAGUAUAGAGCGUAGCGUUGGCUAUGGUGCCAUUUGCGAAGAAAUGAGUUCGCUUUCUUUACUACUACGCUCUUUCUCCCGUCUCGGACGUGAUUCGUAUUGGAUGCUCUUAUCGGAUUGAUUGGAUGCUUGAUUCCUUAGCAGAGCUACUGAUUUUAGAUGCGGAACCAGAGCAGAGCUAGAGAGUCUCAGCCUUGGUGAAUGAGCCAAGGUUCCUGACUUCUAUUCGCUAUAGCUUCCAUGCCAAGCUAGCAUAGCGCUUUCGCUUUUUGUUGAGAAAGUCAAGCUCAGUUCUUUCUCCUCCCUAACACCCUACUCUCUUCUCUUCCUCAAGUCCCACAGGGCAUUCUUCCACUGGCCAUUUGAAAGAUGAAUCUCUACCUUUUGAAGAAGGUGCCUAGCCUUAGCAGAUUCCUACUUAAAAGAGGGAAAGUGCUAAGACCGCGAAUGUCGCAUCCACGGGAUAAGCAUUCAUUUACCUUUCAAAGAUCGUUUAUCCCGCAGCAUCUUCAGUAUGCUACAAAGAAGCAUGAAAGGGUUAUGCGAAAUAGACAAAAUCGGCUUCAUCUAAUGCUUGCUGGCUAGCGCUAUAGGGCUUUGAACCAUAGGCCUUUCUUCUUUUGUUUUGAGAAGAGCUUGCGCACUAGCAUUCCUUCACCCGAUCGGAGACUACCCGGCUACGUCUUAAUCGGAGAAUUCCAGAUGUCUUGGAAUAGAUUGAUAUAGGCAUUUUUAUGUAUGCGGAGGCUUAGUCAAAAGACAGCUUUCAAAGACUACUUUCACUCGCUUAAAAGCGCCUCACUGUGCGAAGAAUAGCCCAUCAAGCUAGAUGAAAGAUCUGCCAGAGUCUUGAUGUUAAACAAACCCCUCCCCGUGAGAUGCCGAAGGCAAAGUACUUUAAGAAGGGAAGAGCUUGGCCUAGAAUGAGCAAGGGAUAGAGAUGAUGGUAUGAAUGCAUUCAUCAACAGAAGUUUCAUCCUCGGAUUCCCACCUACCCACCUCAGACUUAUUCAUCAUCGUUCUGGUACUGGCCGGCCUAAUGCUUUUCCCUCUCCUAUCAAGGAAUAGGCAUAAGUGACUUGCUCAAAGUAGAAUGUCAUAUUAUAAGAUAAUUUCAGAAUCCUCCCGUUGAUGCAUUGCUUAGCUAAUUUAGUCUCUGUUCUCAUCGCUGCUCUGGUUGAAUGGAAGGGAGGUAGGCCUUAUUUAGGAGUGUACCGAUGUUAACGAUGGUGGUGAUGGUGACCAACAAAGGCAUGCUUUCUUCCCCCAAUCGAUAGCCUAUGGCUUAAAUAAGAUUCUCAAAUCAAAUGAGAGAAGAGCCAUAGUAAGUGGUCAGCAUAGAAUGAGCCUUCUUUCUUCCUACCUUUAGCAUUACCAUUCUCUCAUCGAUUACUGCAAACUCUACCCUUCUCAGUCAACUUCUAGCUAGUGAAUCUUACCUACUAUUCUAUUUUAGUGAAGGGAAUGCUCUAGCCUCUCUGCAAACCAGCACUGUCCCGGGUCUCUCAAUCUUCCAAUCCAGCCUCCUUUCUAGAUAUAGACCUGAGUGGCCUUUUUCCUUCUUAUUCAAUUAAUUACUAGGCUUGGUCUAGCCAGCUUUCCCUUCAAAGGUAGCUAUGGAGGAAGGCUGACGAAGGAAGUAGAUAGUGAAUAGGAAGUUGGAUUACUAAGCACUUCCAUAGUAGCAGGCAUAGCUAUGAGGUACUGCCCGGUUCUCUUCUAUCCUACCUACACCCCCUAAUAGUAAAGUCCCUAGCUUCAAAUAAAGAGCCUUUUUCGCACGUUUAGGGACCCCUCGUACCCUUCCAUCUGAUCAAGGGGAGAGUGCUUUUUGGAUGAGCAAAACUGGCCAUUCUGGACGUUUUCAGAAUUGGGAGCGUAAAGCCAACGCCACUCUCACAUAGGAUCGGGGGAAGAAGGUCUGAGGCAAGGAGUGAUUUCUCGUUGAUCAAAGCAAAGUAAGUAGCCAACUUCUCCCUGUUGAUAGCACAGGAAAAAGACAAGGGCGGAUUCACGACUAUUGCUUGCUACUACUCCUAGCGUGGAAAUUAGCCCUCGUAAGGCCGACAAAUUGGAUUUCUUUGCAUUUUAAUAAAAAAUGUGCGAACAUUCCUUGGACUCUUGAACAGAUUCAUUUCCUUGCUAUGCUACGCACCUCUAUUAAUAUUAAUGGGUAUGACUACAAAAAAGGAAGAAGAUGAGCUAGAAGAUAAAUUCCCGCUGCUGGCAAUAAGCUAAUGGAUGACGAGAAUCGUCACUCUAAUUAUGAAUUCUAGGCUUUCUUGUCCAUAGUCCACCGCUUCGCUCCUUACUACAGGAAUAAGAUUACUACCAACAUCAGUGUAUCGGCGGAAAAGCAACUUACAUCCUUGCAUAUUUUAUUCAUAAUAAGUUAAGUAGCUAUCCUUGAUCCAGAAAGUGGUACUAUACUAAGAAACUAAGACUAAGUAUAAGUAGUAAAAGUAGUAACUCCGAGCCAAAAAGGGUACGACUAUUUCGAAGGUAGAAAGCGAGGGUCGAGUUCCUUAUUAGAGUAGAGUUUUUUCCAACCAUUGGAAGUUCUCCUUCAGACAUUAGGAGUUAUAGUUUUCUUAAUCGAGGUGGAGUAGCUUUCGAUGUCGUACCAGCCUCAAAAAAUGAUAUCCAUUCAGCCGAACUAAUUGCAGUAUGAGCGCACUCUCUGGGCCUAUCUAAUAGCAUAUUUGGAAGUGAUAGGUUAUGAUGACAUCUUUUCUGGUAUAUCAGUGGGCGCUCUAGAAAAAAGAGCUGUAGUUCUAGUGAAUGCUUAUUGAUUUUAAAUGCCCAUACUUUCUCCUGUUAGCGCUUUCGACUUCUCAUCUUUCAGAUGGGAUGUAGCCGUUCGAUCAAAGAAAGAAAAUGAAGCAGAUAAGUUAGAGAUAACUAGUUUUAGGUUCCGGUUCUCGAGCAGGUGAGGCUCAGCCCUUCAUCGAACUCGUUCUAGUUGCUUUUUUUUAGGUAAACUCUGAAUAUAUAUAUAUUCAGAGUUUGUGUUUAAGGCUAAAGAAAAGAUAUAUCAGCAGUUCCUUUUGUAAGCUAAGCCACCUUACUACCUCAGUCAUUUUGAUUUACCGUUCCUGCGUAGCUUCUGGCAUUUAUAUUCCGUCUGCUUGUGGGAUAAGGCCUCUCUCUUGGGUUUAACUAGCGGUUGGGUUAAGUCAAUGGACUCAACCUGUUAUAUUCACUAAAUCAACAAGAUCCUGACUGGCUAAUUUGGGUUCAGGAGCAGCUAGAAUGCCUGAAGCGGGAGGAGCGAACGAAGUGAGAACUAGAUCGAGAGUCCAGUUUUCAGUGACUUCAAGUGAAUGCGCUUUGGGCCUUUAGGAAGCGAUUGAACGAAGCAGUCGAAAUGCUUUGGAUGCACAUGAAUGAGGGAGCAAAGCCAUAGGAAAUAAGGCAACUCUCUUGACAGAGGGGCAUAGCGGGUACUCUAACCAUAAGGAGAAGGAAGGUAGAGCUCGCUUUAAAUAAGUUAGAAAUAGGCUUUCACUCCUCUCCAACCAGUCGAGAUCAAUCGAUCUUCCUCUCCUCUUUCAACCGGAAAAGGCUCUGAAAGAUGACUUCAAUGGGGACUAGAAGGAAAGAAGGGGAAAGAGUAGUUCAUCUCGACUCAUCCAACGGGCAAGCAAGUUCCACGGCUAGAGAGGUGAGAAGGUAGCUCAUUUUACCAGUUCCGUGGGGGAAAGACGAGCAAAGCGUUCGAGGAGCCCUACUUUUAAGAAGAAGGCGUUCACCAAGGGAACUAGCCGGUAGGAGGGAUAGUUGGCCGGCUUUCAAGCCAGGUUGCAUGCAUGUGACUGAGUCCGGAGAUUUCGUUUUGUUUUCAGGGUGUACGAAGUGAAGGCUCGUUGAGACCUUGCCUUAGGAAGACUUUAUAGGCACAGUACCAGGGACCGAACUCUCAUUUCCUUGCUUAAGGCCCUUCGCCUAUGGAGGAUUUCGUGCAUAACUUACGUAUUUAGCUGAACAGGGUAAAAAUCUUCCUUAAGCUUCCCUUCCAUUCUAGGGAAAACCACUGCUGGGAAAGCGUAAUCUAAUCACUGCCUGAAAGAGUCCUAUUUACCUAAUAAAGAGGGACUGCUUGCUUGUGCCUUAAAAUGGUAAAGGACAGAACGCACGGCGCCUUUCGAACCUUUUCUCAUUAGAUCGGGUAACCUGCACUAAUAGGUCAAGCCACAUUUCAUAUAGAAAUUCAGGUUCCUAGGAAUGUCGUACGAGUCAUUCAUCUAGUCCCAAGGGGGCUUCCCGACUCAAGCUACUGGGAAAUAGGACCACAAUUCCUACUCACUGAGUGUAAACGACUCUCUUCGGCUUUCCGUCCCUUUCAAUAGGAAGGGUCACAGCCUAAGUCAGGCCGGGCCUUGAUCAAUGAUCAAUAUCAAAACAACCAUAAGUGAUUGGCUCACGACUACGUAGAAUGAGAUUCUCGCUUCCUUACUUUCUCAUAUCUUUGCUUAGUCCGGCAUUCCCAAUCUCUUUCUUUUUCGACGUAAGAACCGCAAGAUGGAUGAGCAAAUGGCUUACUCGAAAGCACAAGUCUCACUGCCGGGGCGAGCUGCGCGAAAGAACUCUUUUGAGCCGUAGUUUGACUUCUAAGAAUAAGCGGUCGAAGGCACAGUUUUCAUCUCCUUGAAUCGAAUGCGAUAAUCUUCGAUUAUCACUGAUGGCAAAGGACGAUGCCCACACUUCAGGUCGAUCAGAAAGAAAAAAAAAUCCGCUCUGGUGCCAUUUUCCUUAAUUAUAGUAAUUGAAGGACAUUCCGCCAAAUCUAGCAACCCACGGAGCGGUAGACAACCGAGGAAAAAAAAAAGUUUUUUAAUUUAAUUUACCUUGAUGUGGAAAUGCUUGUUUCAAAAGAAAGAAGAUCAGAACGAAAUUACGUAGGUAGAGAGAUCUUUUCUUUUUCAUCCCGAACUAGACAGACAGAGCUUCAUACGGUGCUUUUCAUAAGUUCGAGUCUUCCUUCUGAUCCCAAGGAAUGCGCGUCUGGUGGUAUCGUAUAUAAGAGAAAGCUUGCUUUUUUGAGCCUCCAAUCAUAACAUAAAGAAAGGUUUCUACGGAGCAAAGUCUAAUGAGAAAGCGUCUGUUCACUGGCCCUUUGAAUGGAAUCUGGAGAUGUAGUCAAAAGUGACUUUCAUCGAGAUUGGGUUAGUGUUCAGUGUAACCAUAGAACGGUACAAGAUCGAAAAGAAUGAUUGCAUUUCAAGUGAGAUGUCCAAGAGAAAAGGAACGAGGUUUUGAAGCGACGAGAACAAAAAAUCGUGAAUGAAAAAGCGUGACGAGGUUUUCUCCAUUCGAGAUGUUAAAUGAACUUCUCAGUGCGGUCGAACCCUUUUUACAAGGAUUGCAAUAAAUUUCUACGAGCGCGGGGCAAAGGACGCUACCGCAGGUUCCCGGGAAUCCACCCGUGGAAGGAACUUCUUCCUCUUCGGUGGUCGAAGGGGAGGUCUCCCAAAAUCAAAUUUGGGCGGCUGUGGAACGAAAGCAAUGGCAAGACCUUCUGUCGUCCAAGGAGUGGCGUUUAACAGAACGGCGUUUCCAUCUCUGCGAAAGCAGAAUCUCCGUGAUUGUGGGCAAAGACUAUUAAACUUCUAGCUAAAUCACGCUCAUGAAAAUCAACCACUGCUACCUGUGCUGCUUUGAAGGUCCUAUCUUCGUAUGGAUAUGAUAGAUCUCCUACCUCGGCUGGAACUUGCCUCUGCAACUUUAAGGUAUAAAGCUCCCAUUCCCCCAUUUCUUAGUCACUCGGAGAAAGGUAGCGAAGUGAGUUCAGUUUUUUUAAUUUUGAGUAUAGGAUACCACCAGCGUCGUAUUCGAUGAUGGACAUCUUAGGUCAAUCGGCUUAAUCCCGAACAGCUGACGAGAGCUAGGAUAGGAAAACUCUUUGCCUGUCUGGUCUACCUGAUUGGGAGCUAGCUAGUCUAUUCAAUCAGCUAGCCCUAACAUUCAAUUGGUACUGGCUCAGUUUCACAGUGAUCUUCUUUCUCACAGCAACAACCUUUCCUUUCUGUCUGGCUUGUCAUGUUCUUUUACUUGAUUGAAUUAUGACUCAUUUCCUUGCUUCUUAGUUUGUCUAGGCAAUCCUGUAACACGUGCAAUCCUGUCUUUCACUAAUGCCACUAGGCCCAAUCUCCGGAACUUGGCAGCAGGUAACAAGUCGGCAAUCUGUCUUACUAAUUUCUUUGUGUGUUCUUACAGUGAUCCAAUCAAUCGGGAGUGGAUGCCAGUGAGGGACUAGAAUGAAAGGGCAAGGCUUGGACUACUGCAAUAAGAUAAGGUAGGUAAUGGACAGCCCGGAAAGCACAGCCGGAUUGGCCAGUUCAGUUCCCCGUUCUCCUAUGUCUUUCUAGGUUCCUUUGCUGUAUUGAAUGUAUAUAUAUUUAUGGGAGCUUGUUCGUCUGUCUUUCUAUGAUAGGGAGGGUCUGGCUUUAUUCCGGAUGGAGCACCAUUUAUAUGGAGUUUAUGUGCUUUCAGUUGUAGGCCCAGCCCCUUAGCCUUUUAUUUUAAAUAAAUCCUCCCGAAUCAAGUCCAGAUUUCUCUUUUUUCCUUCCCCGAUUGAUUGAAGUAGCUCCUGUUGUUGGGUCACUUCACGAUUUGACUUCCUUCUUUCGUAGGUAAUGAGUUUCCGGUGGUAUCAUAAUUUGCCGUAUAGGCAUUUACUGAAGUUGGUAAUUGGUAAGGAGAUCGAAGUAUUCCUUGUGCUUUUCCCAUUCACGUAUCCCGUGGUAGCCCUUUAAGGUAAGGUAUUUUGUUAAGGCGAAUUGGCGAAGGAUGGAUAGCGAGGGAGAGGUUACCCCACCUUCCGUAGGCAUUCAUUUUCGGGGAGUAGCCUGCUACAGUAUACAAUUCUAGUCCUCUUAGGGCGCUGUGGAGGAUCCCGAGGCGGCUCAAAAAUAUGACGUGAACCCUAAAAUCACUACCAAAGACAACAAUUCCGACAUUCUCAAUCCUCCUCAAAUGGAUAUCUGUCAAGGUCGGAAUCUCGGAUUCCUUUUUCCAGAUAUCGGCAUCAAUUCUGCCUGUCGUUUAACAUCGUUGCUUUCCCUUUCCUUUUCUUAGGGAACUGCUGAUACCUCUGUCAGUCGUACCGGAAUCCACUAUACUAUAACUAUAGGAACUGAAAGAGAUGAUUUGGCGGGAAUUCCUUAAUGAACUGCUUCGUUCGACUCGCUUGUGAAUGCGAUGGCGACGGGGUCGGUCUGUCUUUCCGCUUUUAAGCUAAUGGUUGUCCUCCGUUCAGACAGCACGGAGAAGAGGAAGAAGUCGUCACAAGGUAUCCGUACGUACGAGUUCUGUAGGAGUGCAAGCAUUCGACUUAAGUUCCCAAUAUAAAUCCGUAGGGUACUCUCGGGCGAAAGGCCCAAACGGCACCUUGUUAGCAGUCCUAUCCUCAGUGAACGUUGUUAGCUGUAGUUACAGCUAUUAAUGGCUCCAUCAAUCAUAGAAAAAGUCUAUGUUGAAGAACCACCAAGAUGAGAACAUCUUUAGAAAGCCCGUUUUGUGUUCAGUGAAAGAAAGCGAUACUGUAGGCUGGAAUCUCCUCAACGAGCUGGAGUAGCGAACGGGAACAACGGCCUUAUUGAUUCAACCUCUUUACGGGACUCCUCUACUAGUUACACUUAGCACUUAGAUAGUGAGGAAAGCGACGAAGCCUUCGGUAAUACCUCUCUCUGUGCUGUCUUCCCGAAAGGAAUAUGCUUUCUAGGUAAGUGCGUAUCAAUAGAGUGUGUAAGCCGAAGUAGCUGGUUCAGGCUAACCUGCUUGUUAUAGGGUAACCAACAAGUAUGCAAGACUCUUUCCGGACCUAGGAUUGUCUUUCGGUUUGAAAUCUAUUAGAAAAUGUAGUUGUUGCUCGCCUGAUAGUAAGUCGCUCGCUUCAUUGAAGGAAGCGGGUCGAUGUCUCGUAUGAAGGGAAUUUGAGUUGCAACCAUGAUAAAAUCCCCUAAAAAACUGGGCGUUGAGGCCCUACCUUUCAGGUAGACCUGCCGUUCACACUUCACCUUGAAAGCGGAUCAUGCGCACUGAACUAAGAAAUAGUAUAGUUUGUUCUAGGAAUGGAUCUUCUCUGCCGCAGGCAUCUAAGAGGUUCAAGCGAGUAGGAGCCUUCUUCUUCUUUGAAUAAAACGCUAAUUUCUUUGUGGACUGUACCGAUAACAUAACUCCAUUGCUCCUGAACUUGCAAAAGACUUUUUUUUGCUACUCCUGCAAACACAAAUACGGGCUAUAUUGGCAGAAUCCUUUCCUAAAUCCCAAUUUUUUAUGUACCCCGACAUAGUCCUUCACAAAGGGGUUUAUUUUAUUCGCUUCGAGCGUGGCGUUCCUGUAAGAAUUUAGUGGUUCUUUAAGUUUAUCCUUUAUCUUUCCCACUACCUACUUCCCUUGAGACUUCGCUUCCUUACCUUUCUUGUCUUUGAACAGAAAGCGAUCAGCGACAGAAAGGGUAAGCGUUCAGGGGAGACCCAGUAAAAGUACUCGGCCAGAUCGACUAGCUUGACAGGUUUUAGGUGGAAAGAACCGUCACUUAACUUAAAGCUCAUCACGACCCUAAUACUAGUGUUGCUGAAGAACAGACAACUAGCUAGGAAAAGGUGCCCCCCAAAAUAAAUACUUAGAACGCUUUUAAGUCUAUAUAUAAAUAAGUAGACUGGACCAAUCAUAAAAAUGAUUACCCCGGGGGGCGACUAAACGCCAAACAAAAAUUACAUAAAUGAUGAAAUCGAAUCCUGUCAAAUAACUGUAAAUGGAUUCGGGGACGUGACCGGUAUAGAUCCAUGAUUGACUGUUACAUCCCUUGGGAUCUACCUUCGAUCGAGUGAAAGCUUAAGUGGUCAAGCCAGGGUGGGAACAUUCGACUUCAGAGGUCACGCUUUCAAUUUCCAUUAGGAUUUUUAAUGUCAUCUGAUUUACCUGCCUUCUUGUAGCCGAUGUCUUUAUGCGCAAGCUCUUCAUUUCUCUAUCCUCUCCCGAGCUCAAUUGCAUCGACCCUUCUCUAUCCCACUUCGAAUCGUACGGGAAAGAAGAGGUUGAUGAGAACGUGAAAUAUCUAUUAACCAACUCAAGUUGGUUUUACUUCUUGUAUUUCCUUGCCGUAAGAGCGUGAACAUAACUCUGCCGGUUAGAUGACCAUACCAGGGAGUUUUUUCUCAACGGCGCUCCCAGCUAGCGACACCUAAGCAAGUUAGAGGUUCUAGACUACAAGCUGUAGUUCCCAACAGGAGUGGGACCUUAAUAGAUGAGAGGUUCCUAGAAACUUAUUUUGAAGAAACCACAUCGGUUAUAUAAAGUAUUUGCUGCACUUCCUGAGAAAGAAGUCGUCUUGGUAUUGGAUCCGCUCUUCUGUUAGCAUGAACAUGAAUUAGAUUCUAUUCAUCUUAUUUAUUCUUAAGAGAACUCCCCACCCGAACCAUUCUCAACCCCGACCUACACAAGUGGUUUUAGAACUCAUAUUUAGAAAAAGUUCUGUUAGGUUCUUAGUAGCAGUCGGCGACCUUUUUCUAUUUCCUCCUCACUCCUGGGCCUUUAUCUACAUACGUCUCUUGAAUUUGAUUGAACAAAUUACUGCCCCUGUAGAAUUAAUUAGGCGGCUUAGGGGAGAGCCUAACAUCCUGCAGAGACAAAUCAAAAGAGAUCGCAUCCCAAUGCCAAUUGUGUGUUAAUACAGAAAUGAAAAGAACAAAAUGCCCUAACAUAUAUAUGCACAUCACUCCAGAGGAUUUGCGAAUUAGGCUUUCGAAAGCGCCCGAGUCUGCUGCCGUAUCCUGCUUUUUUAUUAUUAGACAAAGAAAGAGAGUGACGAUGUCAUAUAUUAGGAAGAUUCCUAAUAAUACCCAAUGAGCGGAAUCAGAAGGGGCCGGGUUAACCAUAAGAGGCGUAAUACUGACCCCGUCCCAGCCAAUUCGAAGUUCCAAGAUAAAUUUGCUAUUCUGAUAGAUAGUGGCAAACAUUAGAUUGUUGUAUCCCAAGAUAUAGAAGACUAUUAGCCCGAAAAUUAGAUUAUGAAUAGAUGGAAUAGCAGCAAAAAGCAUCUUUCUAGCUUGCGUGGAACUCAAUCUCAUUUAGUUAGAAAGGUUCUAUCUAUCUUUCAGCAACUGAACGGGAAGUGGUUUAGGAAAGGACUUUCGAAUCAAUCGGAUGCGCUCGCCCAGCGAGAAAGGCCCUGACCCUGCCAACCAAGUCAAAAUCAAAAAGAAGAGAACUUCGUAUUUUGGUAAUUCUCUAGGAGUCAUGUUUAACCUUGAAUGCUAUUAAUAAAUUCUACAGCAAUAGUCCCUCGGACUCGGAAAGUGAUAACGAAAAUGGCUAACCCAAUAGCGGAUUCCGCAGCUGCCACCGUUGAAACCAAUGAAGCAAAUGAUUGACCCAUCAUAUCAUCCGAAGAAACGGAAAAUACCAAAAAGUUCGAAUUCACAGCUAAUAACAUUGAUUCAAUUGGCAUUGACAUAAUAGGAAUAUUUCGUCUAUUAAGGAGGAUUCCCCGAAUACCUAAAAUAGAGAUGAUCAUAGAAAAUGUAAAAUAUUUGAUAGGAUCCGUUUCGGAAACGUGGAAUGUAAGAGAAAUUCAAAUGUUAUAACCAAUACGCCUAGUAGGUAAACGUGCGCCGUCGCCUUUAUCGUUCUUGCCUUUUCUCCAUUUCAACAAACCCAUUUGGGAUUCCCUUAUCCUUAAAUAGUUGCGGUUGCGGCACGACCUCGUACGAAAGCGGCGUGCAUCGCAAUGUAUAGGGGAUGUCCCUUUUUUGUAAAAAGUCUAUUGUUCCCUUCAGAUUUCUUUGCUUUAACCAUACCAAUAAAAAUAAGAUUAUGAGCCACAAAAACAAAUGAUUGAUAAGGGGAAGUACAGAAGUAGGUUUUGGAUUUCGAUCGGAUUAUUUGGCACUUUCAUUUGCUUUGGUUCAUUUUUUAACUGCUUCCCCCAACAAGAGGUUACUAGUAUCUCGUUUCUUUACUUACUUUAAGCAAUGAAGAAAGACUUGUUUGUUGUAAAUCGCUGGUUGGGUUUACCAAUCAAGAAAGACAUGGGAAAAGGAAAGCACUCACUGAGUUACUUACGAAUCUGAAAGAUGGAGGCUGACUACGGCCUCAGAUGAUUAGGCGGGGACAGGAUUCGAACCUGCAAUCUUCAGGUCAUGAGCCUGAUGAGUUGACCAAUUACUCUACCCCGCUUCUUCCCUCUUGAAACUGAAAACAUAUAGAUUAGCAAAUGAGACUGCCCACACUGAAGACCAAGCCAAUCUCGAAGAAGAAGCCUACCCCGGACCCUGACGUGAACAGACGCUUUCUCGGAGAAAGCUUUUUUUCUUUGUUUGUUGACUUCACUUAGCAAGCCUCGAAUCCAAAUCCUUUCUACUUUCUUUCUUCUCUUAUGAAAUUUCGACUCAGCUUGAAAAGAAGCCUCAAGCCGAUAAGAGCUCUUCAUCAUGUUCGAGAAUUUCUAAAGAAGAACUGACAGUGAUUGACCUCACGGCGCACAUGCUAUAUGUUCAUGCCAAAAAGGCGAGAUUUUCUAUUCUGAAUUAAAGGAGCGAAGCGCUUAGUGGUUGAAGUAGAGGAGAGCUAGAAUGAGUCCAUUUUCCUGGGUAAAGCAGGAAGGAAGAAUCGAAAAGGCACUUUCUUUCCUAUUUAGGAAUGAGCGGCCUACAGAGUGGAAAUGAUCCCGCGAAGCCGGUCAGGCCAACUCUAGCUUUAGGAAGAAAAAGUCAUACAGUCCCUACGAAAGCAUCCAUUUCAUGAGUUGAACUGGCUCCGCUCCUUGCUGGACUGGAGGAAAAAUGAACGAGAUUAUUAAUGUUAUUCGAAGCUAGAUUAGAAGUCCGAGCUUUCCUUUCAAUUCGUGUAGCGAGGUCCUCUUCUUUUGUCUCCUAGCAUUCUACUGGAUAGCUCCUACCCUUCCUUUAUUUUCCUUGCGCUAUGAAUUGGCUUUCUUGUUGUUAAUGGGCAGACAAACUUUUGACCCUGACGUGGGUGGGCUUUUUGGAAAAAGUAUUACCUUAAUCUACUUUCUCGGGUAUCUAGCGGAAGACAAGGUCUUGACGUUCUAUAGAUGAACUAGCAUAACAGACAUGCUUGAAUUUAGAAAGGCAAGACAACUCUGAAUCACUCGUUUAAUACAAAGCAACUUUCCCCCUACCCUCUCUGUUGGGGUGUCCCCAACCCUUUCGGUUGUUUCGGCGGCAUUGAUCCCGUAUUAUUUCCACCCCCUCGUCCAUUUCUACCCUUUUUAUUCUCAUUCUUAUUUCCUUGACCUUUCUCAAUAUCUUUUGUUGGUUUUCUAGAUAUACAUAUACAUCCUUGGAAUCCUUCCCAACACAGAUAUAUUUCAUAUAUAUAUGAACAGUCUUUGUGAUCCGCUUUCUUUACUUACUUUAAGCAAUGAAGAAAGACUUGUUUGUUGUAAAUCGCUGGUUGGGUUUACCAAUCAAGAAAGACAUGGGACUCUUUUUUGUCGUUGCUUGGCUGUAAACCAAGUGCUUUUCGAUCUUAGGCGAUCUCAGGUUACCGGCUCUCCGGCCUCAUUUCGAGGCACGAUUGGAGAGCUCUUUGGGCCUGUCAGUUUCUCAAUCGCCAGAUAGAAACAGUCUGAGAUGUGAUGUUCUGAUUACUGUUGUUUAUGUAAUUUUCAAUGCUUGUUCUCAUUCCUACUUGCUUCUUUCUUGGUCACUGAACUGAUCUUUCAGAGAGGGAAGAUGAUGUUCUUAGCUCGAGAGAUAGCCCUAUUUUUUUGCCAACUUUCAGCCCUCUCCCUAUGGUCGAGAUACUAGUAACCUCCGCGGAGGUCACAUUCACGAGAAUCAGAUAAUCCGUCUUCCCCGUGCUAGGAGUUUUAAGCUUUCUUUGCCC